rnacentral:lncRNA from 1 species
UGAAGUCCGCCACCGACCAGCGCACGCCGUCCGUGCACUUGGUCAGCAGCGCAAAGCCGUCCCAGCCGCCGUUGCUGUUCUGCAGGUUGCCCUGCAGGUCAAUCACCAGCGCCGUCCAGUCGAAGUUGGGCGUCUGCAGCCGCGUCUCGCUGAUGACGGUGAUCUGGGGUGACGUGAACGGGAACACGUUGCCGUGCAGGCUGCCGCUGGCGGUCUGCGGGUUGCCGUUGAACGUGUACUGCGCCAGCCACAGGUCUUGCCUCCAGUCGAAGCCGGCAGGCACAAUGAUCUCAAUCCACUCCCGCUUGUCGCUGUUGCCGCCCUGGGGGUUCUGGUCAUAGUGGAACUCAGAGAUGAACAGCGACGGGCAAUCGUCGCAUGGCGGGGGCGGCGCGGGGCUGGGCGGGGCAGGUGAAGGAGGCUCCGGGCUGGGCGGCGCGGGGCUGGGCGGCCGCGGGCUGGGAGGCGCAGGUGACGGAGGGGCAGGUGAAGGCGGCGCAGGGCUUGGUGGACGGGGACUGGGAGGUGCAGGCGAUGGAGGAGCUGGUGACGGCGGUGCAGGAGAUGGCGGGGCUGGAACGGGCGGCGCCGGCGAGGGAGGCGCAGGCGACGGCGGCGCAGGGCUGGGAGGCGCAGGGCUGGGCGGCUGGGGCGAGGGCGGCUCCGGCGAGGGCGGCUUGGCGAGGGGCGGCACGCCGCAAGCCUCAACUUGCGGGAUGGUGCCCAGGGCGAUGCUGGGGUUGAACAGGCUGCCCCAGGUCUGCGGUAGGCUGGCCUGCCAGUUCCACGUGGCCACGGUGCUCCAGUCGCCGGUGUUGAGGCGCUGGAUGGAGGUGCCCUGAGGCGUGUUGUUGUUCUCAAUCACGCCGGCGCCAACGUUGGUGCAGCUGUGGCCGGCCGCGGGGCCGUUCGCGGCGAUGCUGUUGAAGCCCUGCGAGUUGGCGCCGUAGCAGAUGAAGUCCGCCACCGACCAGCGCACGCCGUCCGUGCACUUGGUCAGCAGCGCAAAGCCGUCCCAGCCGCCGUUGCUGUUCUGCAGGUUGCCCUGCAGGUCAAUCACCAGCGCCGUCCAGUCGAAGUUGGGCGUCUGCAGCCGCGUCUCGCUGAUGACGGUGAUCUGGGGUGACGUGAACGGGAACACGUUGCCGUGCAGGCUGCCGCUGGCGGUCUGCGGGUUGCCGUUGAACGUGUACUGCGCCAGCCACAGGUCUUGCCUCCAGUCGAAGCCGGCAGGCACAAUGAUCUCAAUCCACUCCCGCUUGUCGCUGUUGCCGCCCUGGGGGUUCUGGUCAUAGUGGAACUCGGAGAUGAACAGCGACGGGCAAUCGUCGCAUGGCGGGGGCGGCGCGGGGCUGGGCGGGGCAGGUGAAGGAGGCUCCGGGCUGGGCGGCGCGGGGCUGGGCGGCCGCGGGCUGGGAGGCGCAGGUGACGGAGGGGCAGGUGAAGGCGGCGCAGGGCUUGGUGGACGGGGACUGGGAGGUGCAGGCGAUGGAGGAGCUGGUGACGGCGGUGCAGGAGAUGGCGGGGCUGGAACGGGCGGCGCCGGCGAGGGAGGCGCAGGCGACGGCGGCGCAGGGCUGGGAGGCGCAGGCGACGGCGGUGCUGGGCUGGGCGGCUCCGGCGAGGGCGGCUUGGCGAGGGGCGGCACGCCGCAAGCCUCAACUUGCGGGAUGGUGCCCAGGGCGAUGCUGGGGUUGAACAGGCUGCCCCAGGUCUGCGGUAGGCUGGCCUGCCAGUUCCACGUGGCCACGGUGCUCCAGUCGCCGGUGUUGAGGCGCUGGAUGGAGGUGCCCUGAGGCGUGUUGUUGUUCUCAAUCACGCCGGCGCCAACGUUGGUGCAGCUGUGGCCGGCCGCGGGGCCGUUCGCGGCGAUGCUGUUGAAGCCCUGCGAGUUGGCGCCGUAGCAGAUGAAGUCCGCCACCGACCAGCGCACGCCGUCCGUGCACUUGGUCAGCAGCGCAAAGCCGUCCCAGCCGCCGUUGCUGUUCUGCAGGUUGCCCUGCAGGUCAAUCACCAGCGCCGUCCAGUCGAAGUUGGGCGUCUGCAGCCGCGUCUCGCUGAUGACGGUGAUCUGGGGUGACGUGAACGGGAACACGUUGCCGUGCAGGCUGCCGCUGGCGGUCUGCGGGUUGCCGUUGAACGUGUACUGCGCCAGCCACAGGUCUUGCCUCCAGUCGAAGCCGGCAGGCACAAUGAUCUCAAUCCACUCCCGCUUGUCGCUGUUGCCGCCCUGGGGGUUCUGGUCAUAGUGGAACUCGGAGAUGAACAGCGACGGGCAAUCGUCGCAUGGCGGGGGCGGCGCGGGGCUGGGCGGGGCAG